UGGGGAAUUUUGGACAAUGGGCGAAAGCCUGAUCCAGCAAUGCCGCGUGUGUGAAGAAGGCCUUCGGGUUGUAAAGCACUUUUGUCCGGAAAGAAAACGCCGUGGUUAAUACCCGUGGCGGAUGACGGUACCGGAAGAAUAAGCACCGGCUAACUACGUGCCAGCAGCCGCGGUAAUACGUAGGGUGCAAGCGUUAAUCGGAAUUACUGGGCGUAAAGCGUGCGCAGGCGGUCCGCUAAGACAGAUGUGAAAUCCCCGGGCUUAACCUGGGAACUGCAUUUGUGACUGGCGGGCUAGAGUAUGGCAGAGGGGGGUAGAAUUCCACGUGUAGCAGUGAAAUGCGUAGAGAUGUGGAGGAAUACCGAUGGCGAAGGCAGCCCCCUGGGCCAAUACUGACGCUCAUGCACGAAAGCGUGGGGAGCAAACAGGAUUCAGAUACCCUGGUAGUCCACGCCCUAAACGAUGUCAACUAGUUGUCGGGUCUUCAUUGACUUGGUAACGUAGCUAACGCGUGAAGUUGACCGCCUGGGGAGUACGGUCGCAAGAUUAAAACUUAAAUGAAUUGACGGGGUC
rnacentral:rRNA from 1 species